UGUAGCAACCACAGAGAAGGUGUCCACCUGAACCCAUUCCGAACUCAGCAGUUAAGCCCUUCAUCGCCGACAAUACCGUAUGGGAAGAUAGGACGUUGCUUUUU
rnacentral:rRNA from 1 species